CAGUCGCCGCGGUAAUACGUAGGUGGCAAGCGUUGUCCGGAUUUAUUGGGCGUAAAGCGAGCGCAGGCGGUUUCUUAAGUCUGAUGUGAAAGCCCCCGGCUCAACCGGGGAGGGUCAUUGGAAACUGGGAAACUUGAGUGCAGAAGAGGAGAGUGGAAUUCCAUGUGUAGCGGUGAAAUGCGUAGAUAUAUGGAGGAACACCAGUGGCGAAGGCGGCUCUCUGGUCUGUAACUGACGCUGAGGCUCGAAAGCGUGGGGAGCAAACAGGAUUAGAUACCCCCGUAGUCCCUGUCUCUUAUCC
rnacentral:rRNA from 1 species